rnacentral:lncRNA from 1 species
GCUGGAUGUUACAGAGGAGUCUCCUCCUACUGGAUGUUACAGAUGUUACAGAGGAGUCUCCUGCUGCUGGAUGUUACAGAGGAGUCUCCUCCUGCUGGAGGUUACAGAGGAGUCUCCUCCUGCUGGAGGUUACAGAGGAGUCUCCUGCUGCUGAAGGUUACAGAGGAGUCUCCUCCUGCUGGAGGUUACAGAGGAGUCUCCUCCUGCUGGAUGUUACAGAGGAGUCUCCUCCUGCUGGAUGUUACAGAGGAGUCUCCUGCUGCUGGAUGUUACAGAGGAGUCUCCUGCUGUUGGAUGUUACAGAGGAGUCUCCUGCUGCUGGAUGUUACAGAGGAGUCUCCUCCUGCUGGAUGUUACAGAGGAGUCACCUGCUGGAUGUUACAGAGGAGUCUCCUCCUGCUGGAUGUUACAGAGGAGUCACCUGCUGGAGGUUAAAGAGGAGUCUCCUGCUGCUGGAUGUUACAGAGGAGUCUCCUCCUGCUGGAUGUUACAGAGGAGUCUCCUGCUGCUGGAUGUUACAGAGGAGUCUCCUGCUGUUGGAUGUUACAGAGGAGUCUCCUGCUGCUGGAUGUUACAGAGGAGUCUCCUCUUGCUGGAUGUUACAGAGGAGUCUCCUCCUGCUGGAUGUUACAGAGGAGUCACCUGCUGGAUGUUACAGAGGAGUCUCCUCCUGCUGGAUGUUACAGAGGAGUCACCUGCUGGAGGUUAAAGAGGAGUCUCCUGCUGCUGGAUGUUACAGAGGAGUCUCCUCCUGCUGGAUGUUACAGAGGAGUCUCCUCCUGCUGGAUGUUACAGAGGAGUCUCCUCCUGCUGGAGGUUACAGAGGAGUCUCCUGCUGCUGGAUGUUACAGAGGAGUCUCCUGCUGCUGAAGGUUACAGAGGAGUCUCCUCCUGCUGGAUGUUACAGAGGAGUCUCCUCCUGCUGGACGUUACAGAGGAGUCUCCUCCUGCUGGAGGUUACAGAGGAGUCUCCUGCUGCUGGAUGUUACAGAGGAGUCUCCUCCUGCUGGAUGUUACAGAGGAGUCUCCUGCUGGAUGUUACAGAGGAGUCUCCUCCUGCUGGAGGUAACAGAGGAGUCUCCUCCUGCUGGAUGUUACAGAGGAGUAUCCUACUGCUGGAUGUUACAGAGGAGUCUCCUAAUGGAUGUUACAGAGGAGUCUCCUCCUCCAGCUGGAUGUUACAGAGGAGUCUCCUGCUGGAUGUUACA